GCGACCGUAUAACGUCCCGCGAGUGUUAUAGGUUAGUACUAGAUACACUAUAUUAUACGAAAAACUUGUAUUUUAUGGAAUAUAAUUAAAACUAUAAAAAAUAACUAGGACUAACAAAUUGUGCGCAUUCUUGUUAUGUUGUUUUGCUAUAACGUCAAAUAUAAAAACAAUCGAAUCGUCAGGUAAACACCAGACACAAUACAUAGUCAAACCCACGGAACUCAUUUCAACUUUAAACAAACACAGAUAACAAGUAAAAAAUUGAGAAAAACAACUAAUUUACACGUUUUUCAACUUGAAAUUACGACUUUAUUAUAAUUUAUUUUAUAAAACGUCGAAUUCAAAAACAAUUUUUGUAAAAUAUUGUUUAGAUAAAGUGUGAUCAAUAUACAUCAGUAAACCGAAAGAUAUCAUUUGUAUGAACAAGUGUUGACGAAAAAAUUAUUUAACAUUAAUAAAGUUAUUUACUUAUACUUUUUUUACAAUUUAACACUACGAAAAACUAUUAGAGUAUAAUAGAUCCGUAUUAGUUACACCAUAUCAUACAAAAGACUUGUAUUUUACUGAAGUAUAACUGAAAAUAUAAAAAAAUAACAAUGAUUGCUAACAUUUGUGCAUUAUUGUAUGUUGUUUUGCAAUAAUGCCAAGUAUAAAUCGAAAAUCGAAACAGCAGUUAACCACCAGAUUGUUCCUAUACGAUUUUUCAUUCAAGUAUCCAAUGAACGCUAUUUAAGUACCUUAAAUCAUUUAAAAACCUUCAACAAACAUCCAAUAAGUAUUAAAUCCGCAGAACGGAAACAUCUGUCAACACGGGAUAGUGACAAUAUUAAAGAAUACCAAUUUAAAUUAAAAAGCCGGGAUAAGUUAGAGAAAAAAGCUAAAGACAUAAAAUGUAGCUAUAAACGAAUUGUGUAAUUGCAAAAGCAAAUAUAUUGUUCUUGAAGGACUUAAUUGAAAAGUUUAAAAAAGAAGAGCGUUUUAGUUAUAACCUGGAAAUUGUAAAACGCCUUGAAGAAGAAGCCAAAAUUAUACUUCACUUAUUGGUGUUGUCAGAUUUGGAGACUGGCAAAUGGCUGUGGAUUUAUUUGUUGAAAAUCUUUGUCAUCAGCCAAUACGAAAAUAACAAACGUUUCAUCCAGGAUAACCCAUUCGAAGACGAACAACUGCAAACCGGUGUGUCAGAUUUCAUUGAACACUGUAAGACAGACAAAUACCUUCCACUGGAUAAAAAGCAAUCAGAUUUGGUUUCGAAAAUACCAAAUAUAUCCAAAAACAUGUUUAACACUCUACGUGUCUCCAAAAUGUUUUUAUACAUUUUAUACGGCCAUGGUUUGGUGACGAUUGAAUUUCUAUAUUUAAAACAAUUUUGGGACGACGAAAGUCAAUUUUUUUCAGACGAAUAGCUGAGGUCAAUGUCGAUUGGAGUAAUGCGAAACAACAACAUGAAGUCGAGCAAUAGCUGUCUCCCAACGAUUUGCUUAUAAAAGUUAUUAUGGAUUUCAGAUACUAUUUAGACGAACUAAAAAGCAUCUGCUUGCCGUUCGAAUGUAAAGUGCUUUUGCAUUUUAUAGAUGUAGUUAAGUUGUCAACUGCUUGAUAUAUUUAAAUUAUAAAUUUCAAACAAGUUAUAUUCCAUGUAAUGUAAUAAAAGUAAAAUAUCGAAUUUUUUUUUUGUUGACAAGUAUCUACCUAGAAAUAUAAAAAAUUUAAUUAAAUUUGAAACAAUUAUAUUUACUUACGCCAUUUCAGCAUUUUCACCUAAUAAAAAUGUUAAGAAACCGUAAAAUAUCUUUGCGAGCAUAAUGGUGAAUUAUCCAACCAGCCAGAAAUGAAAUCAACAUAUUGUAUGGAGUGCGCUCUCAGUCUUCUCUCAGCAGUAUCGAAGAUACUUCUGCGAGUGGUAACGUGUCUAGAAUAUAAUGUUAGUGUCUUAAUCCAAAUCUUGAAAUUAUUUCAGUUAUGGCAUAGUUUUAGUAUUAGUUAUUACAGAAUUCAUUAACAUCUUUUUAGAGGUUUAAUAUAAAGUUUUUAUAAGUAAUUUGGAAUAAAUAGGUUAAGUAUAAACAAAUUAUAUUAUUGUCAAAUAAAUUGUGUACAUAUACUUGUAAAUUAUAUUUUAAGUUAAAUAUGUAAAUUAAACCAUCAAACUAACUUUACCGGUCCAGGUUAUUGCCCAUAAACACGCCACUUUAAACAACAAUAUUAUGUUGUUUCUCUAUUAUUUACAAGUCAACUAUAGUUAUGGUAAUUUUAUGUAGUCAUAGUUUUUUAAUGUGAUU